rnacentral:tRNA from 1 species
GGCGUAGCUCAACUGGCAGAGCAGCUGAUUUGUAAUCAGCCGGUUGCGGGUUCGAGUCCCAUCGCC